rnacentral:rRNA from 1 species
UACAGAGGUCCCAAGCGUUGUUCGGAUUCACUGGGCGUAAAGGGUGCGUAGGUGGUGAGGUAAGUCGGAUGUGAAAGCUCGGAGCUCAACUCCGAAAUGGCAUUGGAAACUACCUUGCUCGAGGGUUGGAGGGGGACUGGAAUGCUUGGUGUAGCAGUGAAAUGCGUAGAUAUCAAGCGGAACACCAGUGGCGAAGGCGAGUCCCUGGACAACUCCUGACCACUGAGGCACGAAAGCUAGGGGAGCAAACAGG